AUGGCUCAGGAUGAACGCUGGCGGCACGCCUAACACAUGCAAGUCGAACGGAGUUAUUGAAGCUUGCUUAAUAAACUAGUGGCGGACGGGUGAGUAACACGUGAGCAACCUGCCUUCAGAGAGGGAUAGCUUCUGGAAACGGAUGGUAAUACCUCAUAACAUAUUGAUACGGCAUCGUAUUAAUAUCAAAGAUUUAUCGCUGAAAGAUGGGCUCGCGUCUGAUUAGCUGGUUGGUGAGGUAACGGCCCACCAAGGCAACGAUCAGUAGCCGGACUGAGAGGUUGAACGGCCACAUUGGGACUGAGACACGGCCCAGACUCCUACGGGAGGCAGCAGUGGGGAAUAUUGCACAAUGGGCGCAAGCCUGAAUGCAGCGAUGCCGCGUGAGGGAAGAAGGUUUUCGGAUUGUAAACCUCUGUCAUCGGGGACGAAAAUGACGGUACCCGAGAAGGAAGCUCCGGCUAACUACGUGCCAGCAGCAGC
rnacentral:rRNA from 1 species